rnacentral:rRNA from 1 species
GACGAACGCUGGCGGCGUGCUUAACACAUGCAAGUCGAGCGGAGCGGCGAACGGGUGAGGAACGCGUGAGUAACUGCCCCCCUCUAUGGGAUAACAGUUGGAAACGGCUGCUAAUAACGGAUAGUGGGGGCUGACUCGUGUCCUAUCAGCUUGUUGGUGGGGUAUUGGCCGAACAAGGCGACGACGGGUAGCCGGCCUGAGAGGGCGACCGGCCACGUUGGGCUGGGGUACGAGCCAAACUCCUACUGGGGGCAGCAGUGGGGAAUAUUGCACAAUGGGGGAAACGCUGAUGCAGCAACGCGCGUGCGAGAUGACAGCAUUCGGGUUGUAAACCGCUUUCAGCUAUGACGCGGUAGUGGCAGAAGAAGCACCGGCUAACUACGUGCCAGCAGCCGCGGUAAUAC